GUGCAGAACCCGCUGGGGGCAGCACACGGGCGGCGGGAGCAGCCAGGUCCCGGCUCGUCUCAGGCCCCAGCGUAGGAACCGGGCCGCCGCCAUGUUCGGGUGUCGGGGCUGCUUCCGGGGCUGUGCCCUCCCGGAUCGCUCUCCCCUCGAAAUUUCACACCAUCACUGAGGCCUGCCCUGCCUGACCUAGCUCGUCUCCUUCCCCUUUACUCUGACUCUGCUCUACUUUAUCUUUUUCUUUUUUCUUAAACAUCACUCAAUCUUCUAGUUUAUUGCUUCUGUCUCCAGCCAGACUGUAAUAAGUUCCAGGGGGGCUCUGGCUCACUGCUGGGUCCCCAGCACCCAGAACCUGGUACAUCAUAGACACACACACCCCCCCCCCCCCGCAAUAAAUAUGUAUAAGAUGAA